GCUGGGCGUGGUGGUGCACACCUGUAAUCCCAGCUACUUGGAGGCUGAGGCAGGAGAAUUGCUUGAACCCAGGAGGUGGAGGUUGCAGUGAGCUGAGAUCGUACCACUGCACUCCAGCCUGGGCAUCAGAGCGAGACUCUGUCUCAA
rnacentral:SRP_RNA from 2 species